rnacentral:rRNA from 1 species
GACGAACGCUGGCGGCGUGCUUAACACAUGCAAGUCGAACGGAAAGGCCCUGCUUUUGUGGGGUGCUCGAGUGGCGAACGGGUGAGUAACACGUGAGUAACCUGCCCUUGACUUUGGGAUAACUUCAGGAAACUGGGGCUAAUACCGGAUAGGAGCUCCUGCUGCAUGGUGGGGGUUGGAAAGUUUCGGCGGUUGGGGAUGGACUCGCGGCUUAUCAGCUUGUUGGUGGGGUAGUGGCUUACCAAGGCUUUGACGGGUAGCCGGCCUGAGAGGGUGACCGGCCACAUUGGGACUGAGAUAGGGCCCAGACUCCUACGGGAGGCAGCAGUGGGGAAUAUUGCACAAUGGGCGGAAGCCUGAUGCAGCAACGCCGCGUGCGGGAUGACGGCCUUCGGGGUGUAAACCGCUUUCGCCUGUGACGAAGCGUGAGUGACGGUAAUGGGUAAAGAAGCACCGGCUAACUACGUG